rnacentral:misc_RNA from 1 species
AACGCACGAGACCUGCGGACCUGCGGAGGGAUCAUUACCGAGUUUACAACUCCCAAACCCAAUGUGAACGUUACCAAACUGUUGCCUCGGCGGGAUCUCUGCCCCGGGUGCGUCGCAGCCCCGGACCAAGGCGCCCGCCGGAGGACCAACCAAAACUCUUUUGUAUACCCCCUCGCGGGUUCUUAUAUCUGAGCCAUCUCGGCGCCUCUCGUAGGCGUUUCGAAAAUGAAUCAAAACUUU